GACGAACGCUGGCGGCGUGCCUAACACAUGCAAGUCGAACGAGUGGCGGACGGGUGAGUAACACGUGGGAACCUACCCAUCAGGGGGGGAUAACACUUGGAAACAGGUGAUAAUACCGUAUAUUGAGGGAUGGACCCGCGGGGCAUUAGCUAGUAGGUGGGGUAAAGGCUCACCUAGGCGACGAUCUCUAGCUGGUCUGAGAGGAUGAUCAGCCACACUGGGACUGAGACACGGCCCGUACUCCUACGGGAGGCAGCAGUGGGGAAUAUUGCACAAGGGGCGCAAGCCUGAUGCAGCCAUGCCGCGUGUAUGAAGAAGGCCUUAGGGUUGUAAAGUACUUUCAGCGGGGAGGCGUUACCCGCAGAAGAAGCACCGGCUAACUCCGUGCCAGCAGCCGCGGUAAUUC
rnacentral:rRNA from 1 species